rnacentral:rRNA from 1 species
GAUGAACGCUGGCGGCGUGCCUAAUACAUGCAAGUCGAGCGAACGGACGAGAAGCUUGCUUUUCUGAUGCUAGCGGCGGACGGGUGAGUAACACGUGGAUAACCUACCUAUAAGACUGGGAUAACUUCGGGAAACCGGAGCUAAUACCGGAUAAUAUUUUGAACCGCAUGGUUCAAAAGUGAAAGACGGUCUUGCUGUCACUUAUAGAUGGAUCCGCGCUGCAUUAGCUAGUUGGUAAGGUAACGGCUUACCAAGGCAACGAUGCAUAGCCGACCUGAGAGGGUGAUCGGCCACACUGGAACUGAGACACGGUCCAGACUCCUACGGGAGGCAGCAGUAGGGAAUCUUCCGCAAUGGGCGAAAGCCUGACGGAGCAACGCCGCGUGAGUGAUGAAGGUCUUCGGAUCGUAAAACUCUGUUAUUAGGGAAGAACAUAUGUGUAAGUAACUGUGCACAUCUUGACGGUACCUAAUCAGAAAGCCACGGCUAACUACGUG